AUGCUUCUGCUACCCAUCUUAGUAUUUGGGGUGAUUUUUGCUCUGAGAGAAGCCAGAGCGCAGUCGGUGACCCAGCCUGAUGUCCGAGUCUCUGUCACUGAAGGAUUGCCACUGGAGUUGAAGUGCAACUAUUCCUAUAGUACAACUCCUUCUCUCUUCUGGUAUGUCAAGCACCCCAACGAAGGUCUUCAGCUGCUCCUCAAGUACUAUUCAGGGAACACCCUGGUUAAAGGCAACAAAGAUUUUGAGGCUGAAUUAAAAAAAAGUGAAUCUUCCUUCAACCUGAGGAAACACUCUGCUCAUUGGGAUGACUCAGCUGAGUACUUCUGUGCUGUGAGUGACACAGUGCUUGAGACUGCAGGGGGAGCUGAACACAAACUUCCUGAGACAGCAGGGAGGCUUAGUCCACAAAAGGACCUUGUCUUAGUCCAGGAAAUAACUACAUCUUUAAGAUUUUGA